GGCCUAUAAAGGUAGGUGGUGGGUGGUUUUGGAGGAUCCGUCUAAUCAUCAUGUGUGAUGUCAUCGGAUUUCUGGUGUGGCGCGGAAGCGUGUAAGGAUGUGGAUUGAGGAAACCUGCGACACACUGUUACAGAGUGUGCUGCAUAGGAUCACGACGGAGCUUCCUAUGUACUACCAGUUGAAUAGACCGUUGCAAACUUAAGGCCAGGACCAAGCUUUGAGAGACGUAGCAGUGGGUUUCUCGUUGGGACGCUGUCGGCUGCACUCUCGUGUAUAGACACUGGUGUUGCUAUUUCCUGGGCAGCCGUGGAGUGCUGACCACCUCGUUCUACGGCAUGGUGCCUAGACUAUCAGUGUGUUCGUUCCAGCGUGGGCUAUACAGAAUAUCGGCCGAACUGAGGUUUGGCGUGCUGCUGUUUAUCUCUAUUGCUGUGUGUUAUUUUAUUCGGCGGUCCGGGACGCCCAACCGACAGUCAUUACAGAGCCUUUGUAGUUUUUUUUUUAAAAGUCUCCGGAUGUAAUAAUUAUCUGGGUUUACAUUUUAUUGUGAGCAUUGUUUUGUUUGUUUGUUUGUUUGUUUUUGCCGAAUCUCCUUGUUGUGAAAUGGUUCAUUCUUGAACUUGUAUUUUUUAUUUUAUUUUUUUCCUUUUUGUUGAUUUAGUUUCUUUUUUUUGGUUUUGUUGAAAUCUGCGUUUGAGGUUUUCAUGUGAAAUUUGGUUAUUUGUAUUCUUAUGGUUUUUUGGGUUCGUUUUCUUAUUUGAUUGUUAUUGAUUUUGUAAGAAGUAUUUUGUGUGUGUGUGUGUGUGGGUGGGUGGGUGUGAAGGGCGUAAUGUAGUUUCAUUGUGAUUUUUUGUUUUCUCUCCAGGAGUUGGGGGUACCAGUGAUUAUGUGUGGGGCAAUUCCCCCUUUCCUUGCAUGGUGGUAGUUUGUUCGGAGUGUAGUGUUUAACACUUGGGGUGCUGUGGUCUAUAAGUGCAUGUAAGUUUGCUUUGUCUGUCCCUUUUUUUGUUUUUUUUUUAGGCCCCAGCCCUGGAGUAGAAGUGGACUUGUGUGUAUGUCCUAUUGGUAUUAUCUGUUUGGUGCAUCCUGGAUAUAUUAACUAAUGGUUUCCAAUAAAGUUGUGUAUAUUUGAUUUGUCUCGUGUCCUGAAUCAGCCGAAACCGAACCUGUGAACCUUUCUUCUGUGUUAAUAGGCGAUUCCCCAGUAAUUUGGCCUCUGGGGUGGCAUA